rnacentral:snRNA from 1 species
UUCUUCUUCUUCUUUCUUGAC